GACGAACGCUGGCGGCGUGCCUAAUACAUGCAAGUCGAACGAGAGCGACCGGUGCUUGCACUGGUCAAUCUAGUGGCGAACGGGUGAGUAACACGUGGGUAACCUGCCCAUCAGAGGGGGAUAACAUUCGGAAACGGAUGCUAAAACCGCAUAGGUCUUCGAACCGCAUGGUUUGAAGAGGAAAAGAGGCGCAAGCUUCUGCUGAUGGAUGGACCCGCGGUGCAUUAGCUAGUUGGUGAGGUAACGGCUCACCAAGGCCGUGAUGCAUAGCCGACCUGAGAGGGUGAUCGGCCACAUUGGGACUGAGACACGGCCCAAACUCCUACGGGAGGCAGCAGUAGGGAAUCUUCCGCAAUGGACGCAAGUCUGACGGAGCAACGCCGCGUGAGUGAAGAAGGUUUUCGGAUCGUAAAACUCUGUUGUUAGAGAAGAACAAGUGCUAGAGUAACUGUUAGCGCCUUGACGGUAUCUAACCAGAAAGCCACGGCUAACUACGUGCCAGCAGCCGCGGUAAUACGUAGGUGGCAAGCGUUGUCCGGAUUUAUUGGGCGUAAAGCGAGCGCAGGCGGUUCCUUAAGUCUGAUGUGAAAUCCCCCGGCUCAACCGGGGAGGGUCAUUGGAAACUGGGGAACUUGAGUGCAGAAGAGGAGAGUGGAAUUCCAUGUGUAGCGGUGAAAUGCGUAGAUAUAUGGAGGAACACCAGUGGCGAAGGCGACUCUCUGGUCUGUAACUGACGCUGAGGCUCGAAAGCGUGGGUAGCAAACAGG
rnacentral:rRNA from 1 species